CGCCGCCGCGGUAAUACGAAGGGGGCUAGCGUUGUUCGGAUUUACUGGGCGUAAAGGGCGCGUAGGCGGACUGAUAAGUCAGGGGUGAAAUCCCAAGGCUCAACCUUGGAACUGCCUUUGAUACUGUUUGUCUUGAGUUCGAGAGAGGUAAGUGGAACUGCGAGUGUAGAGGUGAAAUUCGUAGAUAUUCGCAAGAACACCAGUGGCGAAGGCGGCUUACUGGCUCGAAACUGACGCUGAGGCGCGAAAGCGUGGGGAGCAAACAGGAUUAGAUACCCCCGUAGUCCCUGUCUCUUAUACA
rnacentral:rRNA from 1 species